GACGCAGUGCCAGAGUGGUUAAUGGGUUAGACUUGAAUUUCCCAAAUUCAUGUCAUCUAAUGGCUUCGGCCUCGCAAGUUCGAAUCUUGUCUGCGUCG